rnacentral:lncRNA from 1 species
GUCUUAAUUAUGUGUCAAUUAGAGGUGGUGUGUUGAGUCAUCAGUGUGGAGACAGAAAGAGAGACUCCUUUUGUGAGAGUGAGACAAAAAUGAAAUUAUAAAAUAAUAGGUCUGUUGAGAAACCAAGACACAAGGAGACAAGAGAACAACGAAAAGUCAACAAGGCUGUCACAUCACCCAGCACUUAAUGUCACUCAGCACCGUCACAUUACUCAGCACCGUCACGUCACCCAGCACCACCACGUCACCCAGCACUGUCACGUCACUCAGCACCGUCACGUCACUCAGCACUUCAUGUCAAUCAGCACCGUCACGUCACCCAGCACCGUCACGUCACACAGCACCGUCACCCAGCACCGUCACGUCACUCAGCACCGUCACGUCACCCAGCACCGUCACGCCACCCAGCACUGUCACGCCACCCAGCACUGUCACGUCACCUAGCACCGUCACGUCACCCAGCACCGUCACGUCACUCAGCACCGUCACGUCACCCAGCACCGUCACGUCACGUCACGUCACCCAGCACCGUCACGUCACUCAGCACCGUCACGUCACCCACCACCGUCACCCAGCACCGUCAUGUCACUCAGCACCGUCACCCAGCACCGUCACGUCACCCAGCACCGUCACGUCACCCAUCAUCGUCACGUCACUCAGCACCGUCACGUCACUCAGCACCGUCACGUCACCCAGCACCGUCACGUCACCCAGCACCGUCACGUCACUCAGCACCGUCACGUCACUCAGCACCGUCACGUCACUCAGCACCGUCACCCAGCACCGUCACGUCACCCAGCACCGUCACGUCACCCAGCACCGUCACGUCACUCAGCACCGUCACGUCACCCAGCACCGUCACGUCACCCAGCACGUCACUCAGCACCGUCACCCAGCACCGUCACGUCACCCAGCACCGUCACGUCACGCAGCACUGUCACGUCACGUCACCCAGCACCGUCACGUCACCCAGCACUUUCUGUUUUCUCUCUUAUCUCCAGUAACUUCUUCCUUAUGGAACUGCUUGUGGUACAUGGCUAUUCAAUCCUCAAAUGCUGCUUUC